rnacentral:rRNA from 1 species
UACAGAGGGUGCAAGCGUUAAUCGGAAUUACUGGGCGUAAAGCGCGCGCAGGCGGCGCGUUAAGUCAGGUGUGAAAGCCCCGAGCUUAACUUGGGAAUUGCGCUUGUGACUGGCGUGCUGGAGUGUGGCAGAGGGAGGUGGAAUUCCACGUGUAGCAGUGAAAUGCGUAGAGAUGUGGAGGAACACCGAUGGCGAAGGCAGCCUCCUGGGCCGAUACUGACGCUGAGGAGCGAAAGCGUGGGGAGCAAACAGG